UCUCUGGCAGUGGAUCGUCGUUCUUCAUCGCUGGAGCUCGAGUGUGGUCUCUCUCUGUCGGUGGCCAUGGCGGACUUCCUCUCUCCUUUCUCUUCUUCUCGUCUUUUAUGUCUUUCGAGGGGUCUCCGGACGAAUCUCGGAGGAGCUGGUGAUGUCUUUGUGGGCGAUAUCAGAGCAACUCCAUUUGCUGCGCGGGUUUCAUGAUCGAAUUGCUGAAAUUUCGAAUUUUGGCCUUUUUGGUUCAUUGGAGUGGCCAGAAGAAUCAUAUUGACGCUGCCAACGCUGUGGGUGUUAAGCACAUUGUAUUGGUUGGAUUCAUGGGAGGUACAAACCCUCAUCUUCUGCUGAACAGCCUUGGCAAUGGCAAGAUCUUUGCAAGUUAUUCGGAUUUCUUAAUAAAAGAUGUGACUUUUUGUCUAUAAUAUACAUGAGUGAACUGAAUGUUUUAGAGUAUCAAAUGCUUUUGGCUGUUUGUAGGUGUGGAAGCGGAAGGCUGAGCAGAGAAUUCCAUGCGCUUUGAUUUUUCUGUGAGAUGGGAUGCAAUGGUAUUUGUGAUCACAAAGCUCUGUUUGGUAGUAUCUGAGUGAAUCUCAAUCACAGGCUGGAGAGUCACAAGAUAAAGAUGGGGGACCUGCAGGAAUUACUUGUGGGCAAAAAUGACACACUUCUGCAGACUGAAACUAAAUUAAUCCUCAGGGGCUGAUGUUGCAGAAGCUUGCACUUAAGUAUGAAAUUGAAACUGUUAAGCAACUCCUUUAAAUUUAUCAAAACCCUUGCUACAUGCCAAGUUCUUGUCAUGAAUCCGGAUCUUAUUCAGUGCAUGUUAUAAUAAUAAAAAUGUGAAUCAUAUGUUAGCCAGAGGAAUGUUGAUUGUGAGAAGUGAUUAUGUUCAA